GUGGGGAAUCUUGCGCAAUGGGCGAAAGCCUGACGCAGCCAUGCCGCGUGAAUGAUGAAGGUCUUAGGAUUGUAAAAUUCUUUCACCGGGGACGAUAAUGACGGUACCCGGAGAAGAAGCUCCGGCUAACUUCGUGCCAGCAGCCGCGGUAAUACGAAGGGGGCUAGCGUUGCUCGGAAUUACUGGGCGUAAAGGGCGCGUAGGCGGACAGCUUAGUCAGAGGUGAAAGCUCAGGGCUAAACAUUGGGAUUGCCUUGGCAACUGGCUGUCUUGAGUUUGGGAGAGAUGAGUGGAACUCCGAGUGUGGAGGUGAAAUUCGAAGAUAUUCGGAAGAACACCAGUGGCGAAGGCGACUCACUGGCCCAAUACUGACGCUGAGGCGCGAAAGCGUGGGGAGCAAACAGGAUUAGAUACCCCUGUAGUCC
rnacentral:rRNA from 1 species